rnacentral:rRNA from 1 species
CCUACGGGUGGCUGCAGUCGAGAAUCAUUCACAAUGGGGGAAACCCUGAUGGUGCGACGCCGCGUGGGGGAAUGAAGGUCUUCGGAUUGUAAACCCCUGUCAUGUGGGGGCAAAUUAAAAAGAUAGUACCACAAGAGGAAGAGACGGCUAACUCGGUGCCAGCAGCCGCGGUAAUACAGAGGGCUCAAGCGUUGUUCGGAAUCACUGGGCGUAAGGCGUGCGUAGGCGGUUUCGUAAGUCGUGUGUGAAAGUCGCGGGCUCAACCCGCGGACGGCACAUGAUACUGCGAGACUAGAGUAAUGGAGGGGGAACAGGAAUUCCCGGUGUAGCAGUGAAAUGCGUAGAUAGCGAGAGGAACACUGGGGGCGAAGGCGGGGUCAUGGAAAUUAACUGACGCUGAGGUACGAAGGCCAGGGGAGCGAAAGGGAUUAGAUACCCGAGUAGUC